AAGUGCCGAGAGAAAAGACGUCCCACGCGGGGACUUCGAGGACAAAGCCUAGGAGGGUUCCUCCCAACAGGGAUCCUCAGCCUCACGUCUCCUAACAUCCUUGGCUGCUUUUACAGACGCUGUUUGGAAGCGGGUCGGGCCCCCUGGACUCAGCUUUGGGAGCGCGGUACCGGGCACUGCGGAGGCCUCCGGGUUCCACGCUGGGCGACAUUUCAUUUCAGGGUGAAGGGAUACAGGAUGCUCUCCUUUCUCACCUGGCCCUUAGGGUACCACAGACCUUUGGACACCUUUAGGCACCAACGUACGAUCAAUGGACCCUUCUCAUUGGAAAUAAGCCCUGCCAAGUUAAACAGCAACAGUUGUGAGAUUUAUCUGCAGAACACGUGGCUAAUGACCUUUAAGACAACUUGUCUCAUAUGUCAACUAGAAAAGAAAAACACUAUAGUUAGACUGUUUUAAGCUACAUAAUGAAAAGUCCACUGGUCUAAACCAAUGUCUUUGAGGAAGCUUCUAGGAGACAUAUUUCUGUAACAUUUGGAUUUUAUAUAAUGGACAUAUAUAACUCGUGCUCAGAAAGGAAAAAAAAGAAAGGAUGAUAAAAAUGCAAAAAAAAAAAAAAGAAAAGAAAAGAAAAACUGUAAACAGAAUUUGCUAGACAUUCAAAUUACCCUGGAAUAAAAUUAAAGUUGUACUAAUUCAGAAAGAAUGUAACGAAUUCUUGAAGCAAACUGUCUUUGUCACAAGGGGUAGCUCUAAACUAUUGUGUGGGCCCCAGCAAACCAAUUCAAGUGCCUGCUACAUUCUUCUACAAAUUAAAAUACCUUAAAAAGAAAAUCCAGGACUAUCCUGAAAAAACAAAAAUGACAUAAGGAAGACCAUCCUUGCCCUGAGGAGGACAUGAAAAAGACAGAACAUAUAAUCCCAGCAACUAUUGUUCUGUGAAAGCUUGUAUCUGAAGAUAGGAGGACAGAGAGAAGAAAUGCCAUGGGCUUUUCUUUAUUUCUUUUAUCCUUCUGACCAUUCCCUGGAAAAUGAAUGUGUCAUCAGAUUUGUACACUGAAGCUCUACCAUAGGUAGCAAUUGCUUUUAUUUUGGGCACCAUCACCACCUACAAACAAAAGAAAUGUUAUAACUGCAAUGCUAUCUUUUUUCCAGCUCCUCCAGAAUUUGAAGGAAAUUAAGAUAAGAUUAAGGCAUUUUUUUUCUACUCUUCAUAUUACAGGCCUAUGUUAUAAUUUAUAAACAAACCAAAUUAUUGCUUUCUUUUAACUCAUUAUUUAGGUAGAAAACUGUUGUUUGAGGUGGUUGUUGCCUUUUUUAAGAAAAAUUGCUUCUGUACACUUUCGAGGUAAUCUUGAAUUCUAAGUUUGAUUCAGUCAUCAACAUAUUAUCAGUUGAAAUUCUGAGGAACAAUAUGAGUAAAUGUUACUUUUUUUUCUCUUUUGAGCAUAUGUUGUAUUUAAAUUUGAAGUUGAAAUCUUGGGCAAUUCAUAUAUGAAGUGAUGGAAAUUAUAUUGUAAUCAACAUAUUUGAGUCUGUGUUUCCUAACUAUGCAGUUAUGUUCACAUACAGAAUAUAAAGUAGAGGGCCUUCUGAGAAGUAAAUUUAACCUUGAAAAAUAAAUUAUCUCUUCAACUUUCUAUAGCCUCUUGUGAACGUUUACAGACUUCAUAGAAGAAUUGCUAGAGAAUGUGCUGGAGAACCUAGGGAGAUACUGUUUUUAAAAAAUAACCUUAACAUUUAACAUCAUCGAUGUUAUAAUGAUUUUUUUUAGCCAAAGUUUCAUAAAGCCAAAUUACCCAUACAUGUUUUCCAGCAUGUAAUAUUUGAAAAAAAAUUAUCCCACUGAAAACAAUGAUAAAUGAAUUUUCCUCUAAUUUAUCCUGGCUCUAGCCACUGAGCCUGGCUGCACUAGCAUGAACAUUGGUGCAAGGACCAAGAAGAGGUGGAUACAAAAGCAAAUCGGAACAACCAAAGCAAUGAGCAAGAGUAGGCACGGGACUCCCAGAAUUAGAUUCUUCCCUUCACAAAUAACCACUCCAAAGUUUGAUUUUGAAUUAUAGAAUAUCACAGGUUAUGGUAAAACUAAGGACCAAAGAAAUGAGUGCAGCAGAAUGACUACUUAAUGGCUCCCACCCUGCACCUCCCAGUCAUCUUGUCACCACUUAGGCCAUUCUUGGGAAGGCUCUCACUGCUCUCUGGUUGCCAAUAGUGAGAGCCACUCAUUCUGCUCAGAUCAAAACAGAAUCUGGGUGUAAGGCAGGAAAGAUUGAAAAGAUGUACCAUCAAGUACCUGCUUUCCCAACCCUUGUAUAACCCACAACCCAUGUUGGAGCUUCAUUGUUACCUUACCUCAGAGCACAUGUCUCCUUCUUCCAAUGAUGAGUUUGUGCUUCAGGUGAGGCCUGCAGGGCCAGGGAGGCAGGGUUGGCUUUUCUCGGUGCUCCUGUUCCACCCUCAGUUUUCGUCAGUCCUUGCAUGCCUGUGCCUCAAAGAGAAAUGCUCUCUCCAAGCUCUUUCUUGCCUCUGUUGGCAGUAGACCGUUAUUGCUUAUUAUUUGAUGCUAGGCUCCUGCCAGGGACUGCAGGUGGUUCUCGAUUCUCCUAAUCCAGCCCCACAAGGGUCCAGCAGUCUGUGCGCCUGGGCCUUCAGGAUGGGCCCUUUCCCUGUUCCUGCCUCUAUCCUCAUGGCAACCGGACCUCUCCUUAUUUCUGAGGUAUAAGAAUAGGUCUCUCUGGUCUUCUGCCCUGACCAUCUUUCUUGUGAGCAUCCAGGGUAAGCCCAUGGAAAAGAGUUUGCAAAUCGUUGUGAACUUCCUUGUGAAUCAGGCUCUCAGUUAUUCUAAAGUGAUAUCCUAGCCCACACUUGGCCCAUAGGAAUUUGUUGACAUUUUAACUGAUUUCUCACCACCUGCUUACAUGAAAGCCACCACUUCCUCCCAGGCUUUACUAAAGGUGAGAGUUUGUGUGUCCUGUUCCUCCUCAGAAGGAUUUGUCGCUCUUUGAGGUUCAGUUCCCUUAGCUGCCAUGCAACUUCAGUUCUCUGAAGUUUAAACUUAAGAAAAGAUAUGCUUUUUAGGACUAUCUGGAUUAUUCCUGCUGUUAGUAUGGAGGGUGAUAAUUUUUAUGGCUUUUUAUGUUCUAAACAAAAGUGGAAACUCUGGUUUCUCAUUAUUGUUUAAAACAAAGAAUUCUUAAAACUUCUUUAAAUUUUUAAAACAUAGUAAUAGUAAUAGAAAAGAAAAUGAGGGCAAAUGUCUUUGCCUACAGCAGUCCCUCUAGGCUUUCUCCUCCAAGGGUAAGGGGAAAAAAGAUUAUUGUCUUAGGCCAGAGAUGUGGCUAGUGAGCUAGGAGAGAAGGGUAUAGGAAAUGCUCCCUAAAGUUUGUCAUACUCAGGACUGCAGAACUCAGGGUCCUGAUCACUCAGUGUUAUGGUCUGAAUGUUUAUGUCCUCCAUAGUUCAUGUGUUGAAGCUCUAACUUUAAUAGGAUGGUAUUUAAAAAUGGAUCCUUGGGAAGUAAUUAGCGUUAGAUGAGGUUUUAAAGAUAGGGCUCUCAAGAUGGGAUUAGCACCUUUAUAAGAAGAGAUCUCAGAGUGCUCGCUUCCCCUCACUUCAAGCACACAAAAAAAGAGGUCCUAUGAGCGCACAGCAAGAUGGCAACACCUACCUACAAAGCAAGAGAAAAGGCUUCAGAAUGAAACCAACCCUUGCCAGCACCUCAAUCUUAGAUUUACCAGCCCCAAACUGUGAGAAAUAAAUGUCUGUUGUUUAAACUACAUAGUCUGCAGUUUUUUGUUAUAACAUCCUGAGCUGACUCACCCAGUACUGAGCAUUCAAGAAUCAUCUGAGAGAAGUUCCAGUGAAAACUGUUAUGGCUUGGCACUGGAGUUUGAGAAUCUCUAAUCUAGAGAGGUUUUCAUUAUGGAGUGGCUUUUUGCAUAACACCAACAUAGUCUUACGUGGGUUAACCAAACCAUCUGAAAAGGAUGGACCUGUAUGAUUUGAAAAUCCAAAGUCACUCCUAUGGAAUGGUCAACAAAGAGAGCAGCAAUGUCUUCAAAAGGCUCUAAUUGGGGCACCUGGGUGGCACAAUGUUUGAGCGUCUGCCUUUGGCUCAGGGCAUGAUCCCGGGGUCCUGGGAUAGUCUCACAUUGGGCUCCCCACAGGGAGCCUGCUUCUCCCUCUGCCUGUGUCUCUGACUUUCUCUGUGUAUCUCUCAUUAAUAAAUAAAUAGCCUUUUUUUUUAAGGCUCUGAUUAGAAUUGCACUUACUUUCCCA